ACUCCAUCAGUUAUUGGGGUGGCAUGUCCGGGUCUUCGGUGGCGGGUCCUUCAUUCCCUCCCUUCCACUUCGGCGGCACUUCGGCAGCAGCUCAGUCGGGUUGGGUUUUUUUUUUCACCGCUUGGGGUGGCAAAAAAGCUGGAACCGGCCCUGGCAGAGGGAAGGCUUAGGUUCAAUGCUCAGUUGAGUUGGUGUUUUACAUCCAGGGUGAGAUGUCAGGGAGAUUAUCAGAGACCUGCGACUGAACGGUGUAAAGAUGGAGAUGCAGACUUGUAAACUGUCCCCAGAGAAGUCAUAGUUAAAGCUGAGGGAGCAGAUGAGGUCAACAAGGGAUGAAGUAUAAAGGGAGCAGAGGACAGGCUGCCUUAGGGAUUCCUGCAGGGAGUGGGAGAGCAGUGGAGGAAGAGUCCCCAAAGGAGGCAAUGGAGAAGUAGUGGAAGAAGAAAGAGGUGAAUCAGAAGCAUACACCAUCUUGGAGGUCUUAGGAACGAGAGAGUCUGGAAGGAGGGGUGAUACAUCUUGUCCCAAGCAGCAGAAGAUGAGAAUGGAAGACAGGCCCUUCAGUUCAGCUAGACGUGGUGACCGGAUGACCUUGGAGGACUAUCAGGGCAGACCCCAGAAGAUGUAUAAAUGAAGCCAGGUGAUUCUUUAACAACACAUGGCAGAGCUGCAGCGAGGGCACAGUUGGUUCCGUUUUCCUGAAGAGGAGUGGAGCUGAGCUGUCAACGUCUACAGGGUUUGGGCCGGUCACCAGGGCUGGAGCUUCUCCCUGUCUCCAAAGCAUGUGCUGCCACACCCAGUCUCAGUCAAGGAGGUUUAUUUCUUUAACAGAGGUUAUCAAACAAGCAGAAACUCCAUCCUUGGCCCCAGGCUUCAGGGCCACCCCUCCCAGGAGUCUCUGGCAUUCCAGCUCGAGGCAGCUUCCCAGCCCUCUUUUGGCUCAGCUCCCUUCCUGAAGCAGCAGCCAGGGGCUGCUUCCCUGAGUCCCUGGCCUCAGGGACCCACCACAGGAGCUAACUCUGCUCUGCUGUGGUCUUCACUCCCCAGGGCUUGGCCUGUCUCAGUCCUUCCUCUGGCCCAGCAGCCCUUUAUAGGCCCAGGUGUAGCUCGGCCCUCUUUAAUUGGCUGGAUUGGAUUCACCUGCUCUGGUCCUGGGGCACUGAGCGUCAUCCAUCUGCAGAGACCAGCUACCCUGUGACAGACAGGGCCUAAAUGAGGGAGGCUUGUCUCUGAAGCCAGGGUAUCAUCUGAAUAAACCUAAGCAAGGUGUCAAAGCGAAGAGGAUCGGAGCUGGCUCGGAUUUCUAAAUACAGUAAAAACGUUUAUGACCCAGUUCUGUCUCCGUGCUGCCGAGCCAGGAAUUAUGGACAGGGAUUCCUGUUAUGCAAACUCAAGUGACAAGACUGCAGACAGUGCUGCACAUAAGAGAAACUUCAAAGAUCACAGACGUUUCCAAGGUAUCAGAAUCUGGCCCAUUGGGAUCAAUAAGGGAUAUGCAUGCAAUGAAAUAUCUUCUGCAUCACAGUUGGAGUGUGAGUGGCAGGAAUCAGCUAACCACCAGAGAAGUACUAGAUUGACAGACUAGGAAGG